rnacentral:rRNA from 1 species
UAUACUGCAGUCGAGCGAUGGAUUAAGAGCUUGCUCUUAUGAAGUUAGCGGCGGACGGGUGAGUAACACGUGGGUAACCUGCCCAUAAGACUGGGAUAACUCCGGGAAACCGGGGCUAAUACCGGAUAACAUUUUGAACCGCAUGGUUCGAAAUUGAAAGGCGGCUUCGGCUGUCACUUAUGGAUGGACCCGCGAUCUGCAUUAGCUAGUUGGUGAGGUAACGGCUCACCAAGGCAACGAUGCGUAGCCGACCUGAGAGGGUGAUCGGCCACACUGGGACUGAGACACGGCCCAGACUCCUACGGGAGGCAGCAGUACGGAAUCUUCCGCAAUGGACGAAAGUCUGACGGAGCAACGCCGCGUGAGUGAUGAAGCCUCUCGGGUCGUAAAACUCAGUUGUUAGGGAAGAACAAGUGCCUAGUGGAAUAAGCUGGCACCUUGACGGUACCUAACCAGAAAGCCACGGCUAACUACGUGCCAGCAGCCGCGGUAAUACGUAGGUGGCAAGCGUUAUCCGGAAUUAUUGGGCGUAAAGCGGCGCGCCAGGUGGUUUCUUAAGUCUGAUGUUGAAAGCCCACGGCUCAACCGUGGAGGGUCAUUGGAAACUGGGAGACUGGAGUGCAGAAGAGGAAAGUGGAAUUCCAUGUGUAGCGGUGAAAUGCGUAGAGGAAAUGGAGGAACCACCAGUGGCGAAGGCGACUUUCUGGUCUGUAACUGACCACUGAAGCGCGAAAGCCGUGGGGAGCAAACAGGAUUAGAAUACCCUGGUAGUCCACCGCCGUAAACGAAGAGUGCUAAAUGUUAGAAGGGUUUCCGCCCUUUAAUGCUGGAAGUUAAAGCAUUUAACCACUCCGCCUGGGGGAGUACGGCCGCCAAGCCGGAAACUAAAAGAAAUGACCGGGGGCCCGCACCAACCGUGUGGAGCAAUGGGGUUAAUUCGAAGGCACCGCGAAGAACCUUACCCAGGUCUGGACAUCCUCUGACCAACCUAGAGGAUAGGGCUUCCUCCUUCGGGAGCAGAAUGACCAGUGGGGCCAUGGUUGUCGUUCAGCUCGGGUUCUGGGAGAAUGUGGAUUUAAGUUCCCGCAACGAAGCGCAACCCUUGAUCUUUAGUGCCAUCAAUCAAGUUGGGCCACUCUAAAGGGGACUGCCGGGAGCCAACCGGGAGAAAGGGGGGGAGGACGUCAAAUUCAUCAUGCCCCUUUAGACCUGCGGUUACCACCUGCUACCAAGAACGGUUCAAAGAAGUGCCAGCGUCCAGACGUCGUAGGGGAAGCUCACUCUCUAUAAACCCUUUUCCAUUUGGGAUGUUGGGUGCAAAUUGCCUUCCAGGAAGCGGGAUUGGUUGUUAUUCGGGGUUCACCAGGCGCGGGGAAUUACUUUCCGGGCCUUGUUCCCCCCCCCCGGCCCCCCCCGGGAAUUUGUAACCCCCGAAGUUGGGGGGGUAACC